rnacentral:rRNA from 1 species
CUUAUCUACACACGUGUUUUUGUUUUAUUCUUAAAACUUGCUUUGGCAGUGGCUGCUUAAUUGCUCUGCUGCCAGAGGAUAAACUCAACCUAAAUUUUUUAUUUUAAACUAGUCAACUGAUUAUAUUUAUUAAUAGUCAAAACUUUCAACAACGGAUCUCUUGGUUCUCGCAUCGAUGAAGAACGCAGCGAAAUGCGAUAAGUAAUAUGAAUUGCAGAUAUUCGUGAAUCAUCGAAUCUUUGAACGCACAUUGCGCCCUCUGGUAUUCCGGAGGGCAUGCCUGUUUGAGCGUCAUUUCUCCCUCAAACCCCCGGGUUUGGUGAUGAGCAAUACGCCAGGUUUGCUUGAAAGUUAGGAGGAGUAUUUAUAACAAUGUAUUAGGUCUAACCACUCCAUUGUGCUUAAUAAAAAGCUCCAAUCUAUAUUUCAAACUUCGACCUCAAAUCAGGUAGGAUUACCCGCUGAACUUAAGCAUAUCAA